AUGCAGAGAAAAGUCGAGCUUGCUUAGGUGCUCAAUCAUCUCGAUCAUGUACAAUACAUGAUCAAUGACUGAUGCUUCUUCCCUCAUUCGAGCAUUGAAGAUGGCACAACUAGUCUUGUACCUCUCAACAUCGUUGGGUGUGUCAAAAGACUCGUUCAACAUUUGCAAUAUAUCCUAUGACUAAGCAUUCUUGAAACGAUGGC
rnacentral:lncRNA from 1 species